rnacentral:rRNA from 1 species
AAUAAUACCGGAUAGAUCACAACGCCUGGAACGGUGUGUGGUUCAAAGGUUACGGCAUAGGAUGGGUCUGCGGCGUAUCAGGUCGUAGGGGGUGUAAUGGACCUCCUAGCCAUCGACGCGUACGGGUUGUGAGAGCAAUAGCCCGGAGAUGGAUUCUGAGACACGAAUCCAGACCCCACGGGGUGCAGCAGGCGCGAAAACUUCACACUGCAGGAAACUGCGAUGAGGGAACUCCAAGUGACUACACAUUUGUGUAGUUCUUUUCUUAACUAUUAAUCGGUUUUGGAAUAAGGGCUGGGAAAGACCGGUGCCAGCCGCCGCGGUAAUACCGGCAGCUCGAGUGGUCGUCGCUUUUAUUGGGCCUAAAACGUCCGUAGCCUGUUUGGUAAAUCUGUGGGUAAAUCAACCAGCUUAACUGGUUGAAUUCUGCAGAGACUGCCAGACUAGGGACCGGGAGAGGUGUGGGGUACCCUAGGGGUAGGGGUAAAAUCCUGUCAUCCUUAGAGGACCACCAGUUGCGAAGGCGCCACACUAGAACGGAUCCGACGGUCAGGGACGAAGCCUAGGGGCACGAACCGGAUUAGAUACCCGGGUAGUCCUAGGUGUAAACGCUGUG